GUCCGCGACACGGGGUGCCCGGUACCGAGCCGGGCUGAGAUCACACCCGUCGAACCUGAUCUCGUUAGCACGAGCGAAGGGAUGUCGACCAUGACGUCU
rfam:Cellulomonas sp. B6 contig_180, whole genome shotgun sequence.